ensembl:snRNA
GAGUUGUAUGAAAGGAGAAAAGUAAGCAAUCCUCCUGCCAGGGAAGAAAGAGGUCCUUAGGCCUGCACAGCACAUGUAUGGUUAAGACACUGCCACCUAUAUCAUAGCAUUUAACCAUGGUUUUUG